rnacentral:rRNA from 1 species
UACGUAGGGUGCGAGCGUUAAUCGGAAUUACUGGGCGUAAAGCGUGUGCAGGCGGUUCUCCAAGUCCGUUGUGAAAGCCCCGGGCUCAACCUGGGAAUGGCAGUGGAAACUAGGGGACUGGAAUCUGGCAGAGGGGGGUGGAAUGCCGCGUGUAGCAGUGAAAUGCGUAGAGAUGCGGCGGAACACCGAUGGCGAAGGCAGCCCCCUGGGCUGAGAUUGACGCUCAGGCACGAAAGCGUGGGGAGCAAACAGG